rnacentral:rRNA from 1 species
UACGGGGGGGGGCAAGCGUUGUUCGGAAUUACUGGGCGUAAAGGGCUCGUAGGUGGCCAACUAAGUCAGACGUGAAAUCCCUCAGCUUAACUGGGGAACUGCGUCUGAUACUGGAUGGCUUGAGUUUGGGAGAGGGAUGCGGAAUUCCUGGUGUAGCGGUGAAAUGCGCAGAUAUCAGGAGGAACACCGGUGGCGAAGGCGGGUCUCUGGGCAACAACUGACGCUGGAGGAGCGAAAGCGUGGGGAGCGAACAGG